rnacentral:rRNA from 1 species
UGAGAGCGGCGUACGGGUGCGGAACACGUGUGCACUGCCUUUAUCUGGGGGAUAGCCUUUCGAAAGGAAGAUUAUACCCCAUAAUAUGUUGAAUGGCAUCAUUCGACAUUGAAAACUCCGGUGGAUAGAGAUGGGCACGCGCAAGAUUAGAUAGUUGGUGAGGUAACGGCUCACCAAGUCUACGAUCUUUAGGGGCCUGAGAGGGUGAUCCCCCACACUGGUACUGAGACACGGACCAGACUCCUACGGGAGGCAGCAGUGAGGAAUAUUGGACAAUGGGUGAGAGCCUGAUCCAGCCAUCCCGCGUGAAGGACGACUGCCCUAUGGGUUGUAAACUUCUUUUGUAUAGGGAUAAACCUACCCUCGUGAGGGUAGCUGAAGGUACUAUACGAAUAAGCACCGGCUAACUCCGUGCCAGCAGCCGCGGUAAUACGGAGGGUGCAAGCGUUAUCCGGAUUUAUUGGGUUUAAAGGGUCCGUAGGCGGAUCUGUAAGUCAGUGGUGAAAAUCUCACAAGUUUAAACUGUGGAAACUGGCCAUUUGGAUUACUGGCAGGGUCUUUGAAGUUGGUUGGUUGAAAGUUAAGCUUGGGAAAUUAAGG